UCGGCGGCGGCACCGGCGGGGCCGCGGCAGCGCACGGGGAGCCGCGCGGGGCGCGGAACAAAGCGCGGAGGCGCGGCGGGGGCAGAUGACAGCCUGGCCCGCGGGCUCCCCGCCUCGCCCCGGCGGGGGCACCCCGCGCUCCUACCUGACCAUGACCCCGCGCCGCUCCCCGCUGGGCCACCCCGGCGUUUCCCACUGAAGGGACCGGCUCCUUUCCGACCUCCGCCGCUGCCUGCCUUCUCCGCCUACUCGCUGCUGAGGCUGCCGCCUCUCCCCGGAGCCCCGCCGGAGUGAUGGGCUGCAUCGGAUCCCGCACCGUGGGAAACGAGGUGAUUGCAGUAGACUGGAAGGGACUGAAAGAUGUGGACCAAAUCAAUAUGGACAGCACGAGUUCUCUGCAUGGCAGCAGCUUCCAUCGACCUUCCACUGAGCAAACACGGACAGAUUUCUCCUGGGAUGGUAUCAAUCUCUCCAUGGAAGAUACGACCUCCAUCCUCCCCAAGCUGAAACGCAACUCCAAUGCUUAUGGGAUUGGGGCUUUGGCUAAAUCAUCUUUCUCUGGGAUAUCUCGCAGCAUGAAGGACCACGUCACGAAGCCGACGGCGAUGGGCCAGGGCCGCGUGGCUCACAUGAUCGAGUGGCAGGGCUGGGGCAAAGCCCACAGCCAGCAGCAGCAGCACACGCACGAGAGCGCGCGCAAGGAUGCCGACGCCUACUCGGACCUCAGCGACGGCGAGAAGGAGGCCCGGUUCCUUGCAGGAGUGAUGGAGCAAUUUGCUAUUUCUGAAGCGACUCUCAUGGCCUGGUCCUCCAUGGAUGGUGAGGAUGUGAGUGUAAACUCAAACCAGGACAACCCAGCAGGCAACUACUCUGAGAACUAUCAGGAGCUGAUGGAGAGCCAAGAGCAUAUGGCCCAGACGCAGUAUGAUAGCUGGCCUCAUUCCUACGUCUCGCAGGGCAUGUAUUGCUUAGGUUCAUCCGACGCCUGGGAGGCCAGUGACCAGUCCCUCAUCGCCUCCCCAGCAACUGGCUCCUACCUAGGCCAGAAUUUUGAUGAGUCCCAGACAAACCUUCAGGAAAGCAUUUUGCUUCAGAGCAGCUUUCUCCAGCAGCAGCAGCUGCAGCAACAGCGGCAGGAGCAGAACUUCAUCCAGAGCACGGGGCUGGUCCACGUGUGGCCCCUGCAGACUGCUCAGAGUGGGGGUGGAGCUGAGUCCAGCACGUACAUGGAGGACCACAUUGAGGAUGAAGGGAACCCACGGCUGGAGAAGGCUCCUCUCCUAAACAAGAAGCCCUCUCCAGAGGAGGAUGAUGCAGUGUGCCGGGACCUGGAAUCUUUGUCUCCUCGAGAGGAGAUGGAACAUGCUGCACUGAGCCGCAAAGUCUCAGAUGUCACCUCCUCUGGGGUGCAGUCCUUUGAUGAGGAAGAGGGAGAAACAAACAACUGAUGCUUUCUGUGAAGUUCUCAUCAUUGCUGAAAAAAAAGAGAGGGAUGGCAAGGAAUGCAAUUACAGGGAUUCUUCUCUCCAGCUCCCCAUAUUUCCAAGCAGACAUACCUUCCAUUCCUGACAUUUAAUUAUUUUUUUAAACAAGGAAAGUCUCAAAGUGAUUGACACAUAAAAACCUUUUCUUCCCCUCCCCCAUGGACAUAUAUUUUGGAUUUUCAUUGCUCUGGGCAACAUGUGAUGUGCUUGGAGAGAUCUGGAUUGGCUUGGGGUGUUUUUUUGGAUGACAGGAGAGUGAUACAUGCUUCUUUCCUGCUUCAGGUUUAGCUCCUGCAUAUUUUCAGGGAAGAAUGUCUAAGGCGAAUAAAAUGUGACUGAAGGAGUAUCAUCAAGUCUCAGAGUUUAGACAGCUCCUGGCAAGCAAAGCAAAUGAAGUCCAGGAAUUGUGAAAACUAGGAACGGGACUCUCAGGAAGAACUUUACCCCACUCAGCUUUUUCCCACUGACACAGGCAGCUGCAAAAAGAGGGACUCCUUUUUCAAUACCCAGGACUUUCCCGCCAAGUCCACUUCAAGCAGAUCUGUCCUCCCUCUCCAUUGCACCUAUAAAUGAAAGACCUCUGGGGUGUUUAAGUAAGACUGGUAAUUUGGUGUAGGUAAGAGAGAAAAGUUUUGAUGACCCGUCUUUUUUUAUGUAUUUGCUUGGUCUUGCUUCCAUCUUUCUAAGGAGGUCGCUCUUCUCCUGAAGGAUGACCUUUCAAUAUCUCUUCAAAGAUGUUUACACAUACAGGUACUAACCACCCCUGGGCAGCAAGGCUUGAUAAAAAUGGUCUGCUAUAGUUCUUGCAGGGCCAGUGGUAGCUCAUUAUCUUGAGCUGGCUUGGGUCCAGCUGUGGAGCAGGGCCUGGGAAAUCCACACUAGGCAGAAGAGGGAGCUGGCAAGUGCCAAGAGCACCUCAGCAGAUGAGUAAAUGAGUAAGUUUAAAGCUGUUUUUAUUUAUUUUUUAAAAGGUCUUCAGGGAAACAGAAAUGGUUGGGUGUGUACCUUUGUGGGAGAUUUGGGUGGCUUGUUCCUUUCUCCAAACCAUUUUGUUCCCAUGUGCCUCUCCAGGACCAAUCUGGAUGUUUACAGUAACUUUCAGAGUAGCUUCUAAAUAUCCCUCUAUGUUGUUUACAGGACUGGGACAAGUGGGUCAACUUGUCCAGGGCUUCUUUUCUCUUUUUUUUUGAUAUGGACAUGUGGUACAUUUACGAAGAUGUCUGAUUGAUGUCUAAAAGAUACACCUUAUCUCCAUGGAAGGCAGUGAGAGGGAGUUAUCUACAUAGGGAAAAGUAUGAAAAAAAUUGAACUUAAAGAAAACUCUGUGGAGUCCAAUAGGAGGAGAAAAUCUGUAGAUUCUUCUAGCCUCUGUGGAGUUGGGGUAGAGAAUUAUACCCUGCUGUAUAGUUCCAUAACCUGCUGUCUAGAAACCUGUAGAUAGCCUUAUUCUCUGUGAAUGCAGACUGGUUUCAACACCACUCUUUGUAAAAGUUUUCCAGCUUACUAAAUUCUGUAAUUUUUUUUCAUAAAUGUCUUAACAUUCUGUGAAUAAUAAACUUUCAGCCUUUUCUUGAAAGAAAGAAAAAGGCUAUUUUCCAUACCUCUCCACAAUCCAAAAGAGCUAAUUGCUAGGAGUUUGACUACAGAACGCAGAUCUUCCUGUCCACACUUGCCACCCAAGUGAGAAGCCUGAGCUGGACUGGAAAGGCAGUUUGAAUCUCUUUGAAAGUGGAAAAUUGUUUGUAUAAUCCGACCUUUUCUUAUGUAACAGGCCCACUGCCUGUGUGUAUCCAAUAUCAGAGAGAGAGAGACCUGGAACCUACUGUACAUUUCCCAGAAAAGCUGUUAUUAUAUAGAUACACCUAUUCAAGCAUAUGGGAGGCACAGGUGCUCUGUGAGCGAAAUUUGGCCUGCAGUCCCUUUAUCCUGGUGAGGAGGGAUGAGUUGGAGAGAGUCCAGCCACAUAGUCAGAGCCCAAAUUGUGUUUGUGAGGCUGUAAAUAAGAGGGGAAGGUAAGCUCAGUAUCCCUAAUCUGCAGUUACUAAGAAACUGAGCUCUGCUGUUUGUUUCCACAAGCCCAUUAUAAGGCAAAGCUGCACUACAGAAAAUUUUUGGAUAUUCUUGAAGUAGUGGAGGUAGAAGAUUCCCAUCUUUCUGCCAAGCCUUUGUCUUCAGUAGGAACUUGUUGAAAUUACUAUGCUAAACAUGAAAGAAGGCUUAAACAGAAGUGACCCUAAUUUAAAAUCUUCUACUGCAAGAAAAUUCUCUCUUGUUCCUUCUCCUAUGAUUGCUCAUAUCUGAUUAGUUAUACUAUUUCAUAAGUUUUUCUUUUAUAUAAAUCUGAAGCUUUCUUUACAAGCCAUUCAGUUCUUCAAUUCCAUUAGCUCAGGGUCUGGGACAGACAAGUUAAUCUGCUUCUUUCAGUUUCUGUGCCUCUAAAUCACCAUCUUCUUUUGGAAAGCUGCUGGCAAGUCAUCCAUUUGCUUUCCCCCUUAAAAACAUUAACAUCACCUUUCAGGACAGGCUUGCUGCAGGGAACAGAGUUUAAGAUCAGCUUCUAAGCUGAUCCAGUGGUGAGCUGCUUUGAAGGAGGAGGAACUCUGCUCUGGCCAUGCUCACCUCCCACAACCCUUGGGUAGGUGCUGAUGCACAGCUGGCCCACACCAAGCUGGGGACUUUUAUCCUGCUUUAAAAGUGAAGAUGGAAGAGCUGUGAGCAGAGGGAGAGAGGGUUCUGUUCUCAGCAGCUGGCCUUCCUUUAUUUCAGGUUAGAGAAACUGGGAAAGUGCACUUUGAAAUGGCAUCUUCGUGAUGAGCGUAAGCUGCUCAAAGGAGCUGUCCUGCCUCCUCUCUUCCACCACCACCAGCUCUGUACUUCUACUGCCUAAAAAGCACCAGCACUAACACUCAUUUGGUUGCUCAGGAACUGGCCCCAUUGAAAACCAGCCCAGUCCCCUACCCAAAUAAAGGUUCCAGUGGGAUGAACACUUCAUAUUGCUUCUCUUGGUGAGGCAGGGAUUACUGAGGGCUGGUGAUACGUGUAGAUGGUCAUGUGGAAGACUGGUUGCAGAUGCAACUUAAAUUGGCUUAAGCUGAUUGUGAUAUGUCAAAAGAAUAAGCCCCACGGGGGUACCAGGAAAAACAUUAUUCCCCAUUUUCUUCCUUAGUGUUUUCCUUGGAAUUUUUAGUAUGCUCUUGUUCGAUUUGGUCUUUGUUAUUUAUGCUCUGUUGUUUCCCUCACUGUUCUCUCCCUCAGGCCACUUUGAGGUAAAACCUGGAAAUUGGGCAGGAGGACAUGACUAACUUGAUAUAUGCAUGAAAUUAAUAAAAUUAACAUGCACAAAUCGUGUAUGCACUCAGUGAUUACACUCCAUGGCAGCUAAAGACACUGAUAAGUCUUACCCUGUAAUUGCAAGAGGGGAGACUUGUUUAAGAGUGAAGCAUAGCUGUUGGAAAGGGUAUUUAUCCCUAUGUCCAGUCUAGUGUGAGAUCUGGAAGAGGAGUACUUCACUCCUAGGCAGAGCCUGCGUGUGCUGUACCGUGUACAGCAGCAAUGAAAAAUGUUAGUUGUAGCCUCGGAGAAGAGAACUGGAGAAGGAAAGUCAUCUCUUCGUUUGACACAGGAAGGAGGUACUGUGGUGAGGCAAGGUGGUGUGCAACAGUACAGGCUUGUGCACCGCUGUGUGUGUGUGGCAGAGGGGGAAACACAUGGAGAGAAAAGCUUGGAAAAAAGUCAAGAAAAGCUUGAUGUCUUUCGUUUACACUACACGGGUAAGAAGCUUCAUGGCAGACUCCUGGCAGGGUGGACUGAGGUAUAGAAUUGCUAUACAAGCUGUGGGUCCAGGAUUGUUGCAGCUUAUGGUGCUCCUUAGUCCAAGCCACGCUUUUUUAAGACGGUGAUAGGAAAGAGACCUCCCUGAAUUUGGGUGCCUGCUAGCUUCUUUUUCAUUUUCUUCAUAAAACAGUUCACAGUGCCCUUGGUUCUUCAGGGAAAUCGCAUGAGAAAUACACCAAAUAAGAACUUACUCCUUGCCCAAAUGAAGUUAGUGUGAGUUCUGAUCUCACUGGGAACUCGAAAUACCUAAAUUCAGCUUAGUUUGCCUUAACUUUUAUAUUGAUAAUUGCCUAGAAGGAGAGGCAAACUCAGAUAAUCUGCCUCUAAAUGCUAUAAAAAGCAGAGCAACAUUGGCAAAGUCUAAGCUCUUCUUUCUAAUUACUUCCAGGUGGAUUUUCCAGUGUUCCUUGUUCAGACAACUCUGGCAUAUCUUUUUAACUAACUGUUUGACUUUUUCUGAAAGAAAAAAAAAGAAAAGAAAGGAAAGAAAAAAAAAUUAAUUCCAAUACAGAGAUUAUCAGCAGUUUACAACUAGAAACAUGUAAAUAAGUAAUGCUUUCACCUUUGAUUUUCCUCCCCUGUAGCAAUCUGACAGGGAAAGAUUUCUAUGCCAUGGCUCAGGGAAAGGAAAAAUAAACAGGGAAAAUGUGAGUAAAAUGGUGCCUAUUAGAACUAAAUGUAUGUGUAGGACAGCCUACAGUCAUUAAAGCACAGUCUCAAAUAUGAUUGCAAGCUGUAAAGUCAAUGUCAGGUGCCUCUUUUGUGCCAUAGGCUUUUCCCAGGCUAAGCAGUGGUGAACCUGUGCAGAAGAGCUGGACUUCUGUGCCAGAUCCGUGUCUCUCUCUGUCUCAGAAUAUGUCAUGGAGCCUGAGGACAUUGUGCUCCCUCAGCAGCACAACCAGCUCCAUGGAUUGACUGGGCUAAGGCAUGAGGGUUAUUAUGUUAACAAAUGGACAUGGAAGAUCUGCACCUGGAACAUCAGGGUCUAUUUACAUCCUUGCACUGACAUUUUUCCCCAGCACAGGCAGAUCAAAGUGUUAUUUUUUUCCUUGGAAAUGAAGAGAAGCUCUAUGAUUGUCAGUGUUGGUCUGCACAAAAGAAAAGAAGUAUGUGAUGUAUUUUUCCAGUGCAGAUACACAUUGUUGGAACAGGAAAAAUUUAGUCAGGCUGUGAUUCUGAGAAGGAGCAUGUUUACUAAAACUGUAAAGACUUGUUCAAGAAUGUUCUUAGUGCAGAUACCACAGAAUUACACAAUGAUUGGAAGGGACCUUAAAGAUCAUCAAGUCCAACCCCGCUGCCAUGGGCAGGACUUACCUACUGAUGUGUAGUAGCUGCUGUCUUCUGGGAAGAGAGGGGUUGCAGUGUUCUGUGGAAAGAAUGCUCCUGCUAGGGUCUUCCUCAUCUCCUAAAGCUGGGGACAUUUUAAAUGCCCUCUGAAAACUAGUCUUGUUUUUGCUUUCCCAUAAGGGAUCAAAUGUCCAUGCUUGCAAGACAAAAACAUCUAAAAGGCUUUUCUCCAUUACGGAAACAAGAUUGUGCAUCAAGAUUUGCUUCUGAUAAGAUAAAGGCAUGCAGUCCAGAUUCAUUGGCCUUUUGGAUUCAUUUUCAUUUGGCAUGGAAAUCCAGUCAUGAUUGGAUUGGAGGCCACAAGGUUAAGAACCUUCUUCCAGAGCUCUGCCAUGUUCCCAUGAGGCAAGUGUAGGCACACUUCCCUUCUUUUCAGAUAACUGCAUGCUUGAGCAACGUAGCAAGCCAAAAGCUCUUUUGCAGAUAAAUAUUCUUGUUUGGCUUUAACUUUUCUUUUCUGAUUUGUGGAUGUUGUGCAUGAUUGGAGGUCUCUGGGAAUCCUUACACCAUAAAAUUGGAACUCAAACGUAAUUUUACAGGGAGCAAGAUUUCUCUUGUUUCAGCUCUUUUCAGAUGUGGGUGGGUACAGGCAGAAGAUUUGGGAGGUACAAGGGUGGUGGAUGGGAGUCUCAGGGGUGGCAUGCGGGGUGGAUUCCUGAAGCAUGUGUAAAAAUAACUGAAGGCUUAGGUCUUCACAUGUUGUAUUCUCAGUAUCUGAAACUACUUUAGCAUAAGCGUGUGGGACCAUGGAGGUUGCUGCAAAGCACUUUUCAAGGGCUUCCCUGAGCCUGCACGUGUUUUCUGUAGCGGGGAGGCUGCAUGGUGGUUGUAUAUAUCCUUUUAAGCUAGUGUUUACAGAGGUGCAUCGAUGUCUGGGGAGAAAGUACUGAAUGGAAGUAAAACCAAAAGGGAAAGGGACCCACUACUGAAAACUUUCGUCCUUACAUUGUCCCACACUAGCCCUUAAAAACUAAAACGAGUCUGAUUUGCCUUUGGUCUUCCAGCUCCAAAACAUGUUUGCCUGAAAACUUUUGUUGGAUAUACUUCGCAUGUUUUGAUAAUGUGACUUACGAGAUAAACACUUCUACAAAGCUAUAUAUAAAUACAUCCAUGUGCAACCACCUGCAUACAUGUGCACACAUCACAUAUAGACUUAGAGAACUGUAUGGCACUACACACCUCCAUGCCUGUACGUGGCAGCAACCACAGUAAAGGAGGGGAGGUAGCUCAAAAUAGCAUGUACAGUCCUUUAUGGAGUUGUUAUUAAACAGAAUGUGGUCUUGCCCUCCUGGCUGGUGGAAGUGUUUUAUUUCUGUGGGAUUGGCUCCAGGGGAGUUGCGUCUGAGGAAGGAGGAUCCUAGGAAGAGGGGGUGGGUUUCAAGGAGAUAGUCUGAUGGAGCACAUUGAAAAGGAUCCAUGGUGGCUUGGAGAAGGACCCCAGAGUAGGAAAUACCUGAUUUCUCAUUAAGAAAGAACAUCACGUGUUUGACUGUACAGGGCUAAAAUCUGAUGUAUGUCUGUGACUACCAGGCCAUGAAUCUGAGGACAGAAAGCAUCACAUCAACAAAAUCCUCUAAUUUAGCACAGAGUGAGUUUUCCUGUUCUACUGAAUAAACAUUUUCCAGGUGAUACAUACAAGUUUUGUCAUAGUACUGGUGAGAUGCAGACACAUCUGACUCAGAGUUGGACAGAAAUUUCACAACAGCCCAUUAGGACAGGACACAGGAAGACUUCUGAUGCUUAGGUUGUAAUAGGCACUGACAUUGGGUAGCAUGACUCUGGGUUCACAUUUCAGUUUUAAAUGCUUCUCAGCCUGCUGUCCUCAUAGCAGAUUGGGGAAUUG